UUUAUGUUGGAGAUUUAAAAUUUUGUGCAUAGUCAGAUAUAUUACUGAAAAUUAUAUUACUUUUCAAAAUGGCUGCCAUCCCUAGCAACAAGGCCAUGUGCCAUAGCUAGAGCGAGGGAUAUAAAUACGUUGGAGUAAGUACAACAUGAACUCUAUAGAAAUUACAGCAAUUCCCCAUGUGAGACUAUCGGCGAAGGGGCGGUAUUUUUUUUCAAUCCCUAUACCAAAAAAGCGAAAAUUGCCCCUGGUGGGAAUAGUCUGGGGGCAAGGGGAUUGCCCGAGGAUUCUCGAAUUUCUAUGCAAACAAAAUAAUGCAGACGUGAGGUGUUCUUGGCAAGUCAAGUACGACACAGUAUAUCUCAGCUAGAAAAAACAAAAAAUGGAGAAAGAAGAGCACGAAGGUGGCUAUGAUUAUGUUUUUGCAUCAACUGUGCCAGUGGAUUUAACAUGUGUUGUUUGUCAUUCUGCAAUGAGAGAUCCGGUUCAAAUUGUUAACUGUGGUCACAGAUUUUGUAACUUGUGUUAUGAAAAAAUAAAGCAACAUUCUCUUACAAGAUGUGUUGAUUUAUGUUGCCCACUUGAUCGAGAGGUGAUUGAUCCAACCAAGGUUUUUGCUGAUAAAGCUGCACAAAGAAACAUAUUUGACUUAAUUGUCAAAUGUUCUAACCAUCAACAAGGUUGCACAUGGAGCGAUGAACUAAGAAAUAUUGAGGCUCACAUGCGAAAUGAUUGUGAGUAUCAGAUGGUAGAAUGUGAACAUAGUGAUUGCAAGGCCAGUAUGGAAAGACGAUUACUUGCACAACAUGUUUUAGUAUGCCAUGAUCACAAGGAUGUGCAGAAUCCUUGGGCACUUCAAUUGCUUGAUAAAAAAAUUAUUACGAUUGAAAAAAAACUUCAAGAGUCAACUCUUCAAAAAGAGAGAGAUAUCAAUAACUUAGAAAAGAAGUUCUUCGAAAAAUUUAGGAUUGUUGAGCAAAAUAUACAGGCUCAGUUAUCCGAAAUUCACAGAUUGGAGACGACUUCAAAGUUACAAGAGGAACGAAUAAAACAUCUCGAAGAGGAAAAUAAUAAGUUAAAGGCUUUAAGUCCUAAAACAGACUACUUGGAAUGGACAAUACAAAAUUACAGUCAACUCAGAGAUAUUGGCGAUGAUUUUUACAGUCCACAAUUUUAUAGCAGUGAUGGGCAUUGCUGUCAAUUAUAUAUCGUAUGGCGUGGACGCAGAAAUGGUCGUAUAGAAUUUGGUUUCCAUAUUUGUCGAAGUGAUAACAUGCCGAGUUCCAUAUUUAAUCGAAUUGUUCACUUGAAAUGCGUUGGUGAUGAUGAUGAUAUAUUUGAAACUAUGUUAGAACCAUCAAUGGAGGACGCAGAUUGUCUUACUGUACAUUUUGGAAAAGAUGUAUCUGAAGGUUUGUGGUUUGAAGAUGAUUUAUCUAUGCCUGAACUAAACAGAUACAUUCGUUGGGAUGACAUGUAUGUGGAGUGUUCGAUUGAACCCUCGUCGUCAUAGUUGGUCUUAAUACAGAAACUAAAUCCUACAUUCCGGCGGGAAGUUCUUUGAUGAAUGCCAAGUAUAACCAAGCUUUAAAUUUCUAUGCGCUAGUUUUGUUAGACAUUUGAUUUUUUAGAAAAAUUGGAUUGCUUGUAUCACAUUUUGUUAGACUUGAACACAUUUAUUUUUACUUAAUGCAAUACAACAGAGAAGUUCUAUAUGCAACUGUGUUUAAAACUGAAAAAGAGAAAAGAUAUUAAACAAGUUUUUUGUGUCUUCUACCACACGAGUAAUAAGUAUACGCAAUUCUAUUUUUUCCGACAAUUGUCUCCUCUAAUUCCCACUGAAUAAUUGCUCCAAUCAGUUCUGUUUAGGGUACCUGCCCUUUAACAAUAUUUGAUCCUUGAUAACUUCCACUUAGGAAGGGGGCAAUUAUCCUGAGAAACUUAUCCUAGGUAGGUUUUAUCCGGGGACAGUUAUCGAAGGGGGAAUUGUUCUUAAACCCUUUUACUUUAGAUAAUGGAAUUUUUACUGUUGCCAUAAGACAUGGUUUGUAGUUAGACAUGUUUUACUUUUUAUCCAGUUGCUUGCCAAUGUUUCUUGUGAGUUCAAGAAUUUAGAUCGACUUUGGCUAUAGAUAAGUCAUUUGUUAUAUUUUUUAUCCAGCUGCUAGGUAGUAAAUUGUAAUCCCAAACCUAUCACAGUCUGUAAUCCUUCGACCUGUGGCACUUUGUAAUCCCAUCCUGCUACACUUUGUAAUCCCCGAUAUUUUUGCGAUAGAAUAUCCCUCUUGCAUGCGCCUGCGAUUUUUUCUGAAACGCUUUUUUGUAUUAAUUAAGGGAAAAUCAGAUGACAGUUACAGCUACACGUCUUUUCAGUGUACACUUUGAAAUAAAUUCUAACAGAUGACAUUAUAUUGCUUCUUAGGUUUUUACACUAGUAAAGUUCACUGCGACAAAAUUAGAUUGUAAUGUGCGAUGGGAUCACAAAGUGCGUCGGGAUUACAAAGUGAUACAAUUGUGAUAACAAGCAGUCAAGAUAAUUUAAGAAGUUUGUACUGUCUUUUGUACUAUAAUGACAAAGAAGGUGUCGAAAAAACUAGUGAUAACAAAUUUUAAUUUUUACUAUUUUUAUCAAAACUUAGUUAAAUCAAGUUAAGAACUUGUCAGACAAAAUGUAUAGCUAUGUUUGUGUAUACCUUCAAUGAAACGAGGUAAAUCUAACAAAACGUUAAAUUUGAGGAACGGAAAUAUUGUGGUUUAAAGUACCGAACCAUAUUGAGACAAAUACUGUACCGUUUGUGUUCUAAGAUCUAAGUACUAUAAAUUAAACAACUUUUUAAAUUUUUCUUUUUAUACUACUUUUUAAGACAACUGCAUUUAUGUUUAAAUUUAUUUUUUAGAUGAGGUAACUUUUUAAGUGAAAAUUUUCGUUGCUUAAUAAAAAGAUUAUUACAAUUGAAAGGAGUCUUCACAAAUCGACUGUUCAAAAAGACAGAUACAUCAAUAACCUAGAAAAGAAGUUCCUUAAAAAAUGUAAGACUAUUGAGGCGCAAGUAAUCAAAAUGUACAGACUCGUUAUCCGAAAUUUACAACUUGAACUCGACAAAUAAAACAUCUCGAAAUGGAAAAUAAUAAAUUAAAGGCUUUAAAUCCUAAAACAGACUACUUAGAAUGGACAAUACAAAAUUACAGUCAACUCAGAAAAAUUGGCGUUACUUUUUACAGUCCACAAUUUUAUAGCAGUGAUGGGUAUUGCUGUCAAUUAUAUAUCAUAUGGUGUGGACGCAGAAAUGGUCGUAUAGAAUUUGGUUUCCAUAUUUGUCGAAGUAAUAACAUGCCGAGUUCUAUAUUUAAUCGAAGUGUUCACUUGAAAUGCAUUGGUGAUAACGGUGAUGUAUUUGAAACUAAGUUAGAACCAUCGAUGGGGUACAUUUUUAAACGUUGUCUUGGUGUAUUUGCUGCAGAAGAUGAUUCUGUGGGUUUAUUUUUUGGAGAUGAUUUAUCUAUGCCUGAACUUAACAGAUACAUUCGUUCUGAUGACAGUAUGUAUGUGGAGUGUUCGAUUGAACCCCCGUCGUCAUAGUUAGUACUAUAUCAUACUAUAGAACUAAACCGUAUUUGAUAACUCUGGAGGCUGUGUGGAUUAAUGAACUGAAUCCAUCCAUCAACACCAAAGAAGAAAAUAUUUCCAGAGAGCUACCUGAAGAUCAUAUUGAUACAUCGAUCGCGAUUAUAUAACGUCGUUGCUGGUUUAUAUCGUUGCCUUACGUCAAAAUCACAAAACAGUUACCCCAAAUUAGGUUUCAACAAAACUUCCUUUUUAUUCAUACUAACCUUGAGUAUCUUAUAUAUUAAUUCCCUUGCGUGAGUAAAACUGUGAGUCCACGACACGGAAAUCACGGUUCACUUUCUUAUGACGUGGCUGUACGCUAAAAUUUAACUAAAAAGAUUAGGGAUGUACUUCAUAGAAAUCGCACAUAAGGUGUAAAUAUAUAACCCGCUGCUAAUAACGAUAUAAAUAUAUAUACCCUUAUGCCAAAAAACUCUAUGUUAGCAUAUAUAUAUAGGUAUCGCUACAUAUGAAACGGUAUUAGAUAUUCACAAAGCAUACACACUGUUAAAUGAAGUUCCUAGCAUAAAACGGAAAUUGUGUUUACGAAAAAGAUGGCUGUUCUUUUUGAGUAUUCUCUACUCUUUCAUUCAAAAUAAAUCUUUAAAAAAACAUUUGAAGAAGAGCAUGGUUUUAUAAAUUAAUCAUAGCAAGGUUCUGUAAGGUUUUUUCAUGUUUUAUUUUCACUUUUGAUUAUAUUAUUGUUGCCAGACAUGUUUUAUAGCUAGCAUCAUAAAAAGCCAACCACCACUAACAACUAGCUAGCUAGCUAGGAAUAUAUAUAUAUAUGUAGCCAUGUUCUUUAUACCUAGCUAAGUCUCCAGUUUAUAUUUAAGUGACUAGCUAUUAGCUGCUGUAGCUAGCUAAUGCUAGCUUUAAACUAAAGAUUCCCCGUAUAUAUAUUCCCACAAAACACAUCAAACGUUAUUAACCCUGAAAAUUUUAAACAUUUUCCUGGGUUUUUUUUGGUUUGCGAAGUUCUUUUCCUCCAAAUAUUCUGAAAAUAAAGUUCAGAAAUUACUUAUUUUUAAAAUGUAAAUUUAAUUUGUUUCAAAUUGUGGGCAAAAACCUUAAUCAGCAUGCUAAAAGAACUGACUUUUCUUAAUUUAGAAUUACUAAACACAACUAUUUUCUUACAUUUAGUGUAAACUUUUGUGCGUAUGGCUUAUAUUUAAUACACCAAAAGAGCUACUUUGUUGAUUUCAAUUUUAUACUCUUUGUAAGCUAUUUUUUUCUUCUUUUUGACAUUUCUGUUUUACCACUCAAUUUUUACAUUUUAUAAGUUAUUUGGAACAGAAUGGUAUGAAAUAGACCAAAAUACCCGAUCUUAGUUGUUUUUAAUUUACAGGCUGUGUCUGUGAAACUUUAAGGGGAACAUUUGGUGGAAGACAAUGGCAUGACAUAUACUGAUAGAACUGAUUUUUGUUGUGUUAGAUGUUAUAUCUGAACCUUUUUGACAUUUUAUGUUAAUUUUGCGAGGAAGGACCAUAUAUAUAUACACAGAAGAAGAAUUCAAUUUUACACCUUGCAAGCUUUGUUUUUCUAUAUUUUGUAUAAAUUCUUACUGGGGAGGACUCCGUGCAAUAUAUCGAAAUGACUGAUCCUUCUCGAUUUAAAUUUGAUGUGUUCUAAAUCGUAUAUAGUUUUGGAAAUUUUGUGUAAGAUUUAAUGGGUAAGGGCUAGAUACAAUAUGUCAAUACUUUUUUUGUUGAAUCAGAAGCACUCCCUACAACCAUUCUUUUUUUUACAGUUUGUGAAGCUUUUGUGAGGAAAGAGUGUAUGCAAUAUUAUCGAAAUAACUGAUUUUUGUUGCAAACUGUUUUUCUUUGGCAUUUUGGAUUAAAAUAUUGUUUUAGAGGGCAUAUGCAGUAGAUAUAUGUACUGAAAUAGUUAAAUUUUGCAAACUUUGAUUUUGUCGUUACCUCUCAUUUUUUACAUUUUGAUUAAACUUUUGUGGGAGACCGUCGGUAUGCGAAGGACCAAAAUAAGAGAUUUUAGUAUUAUUUAGAAUUUGUAUUUUGUGUUGCAAAAUUGGUGCAAAAUUUAGACAUAAAAUGAACUUAUAUACAGAUUGAUUGCUGUUGUUUAACAUGACUCAUUAUGACUUAUAUAUAUAUUUUAUGAAAAUUUGUGACAGAAUACUAUGUGAGAUUUGAAA